rnacentral:lncRNA from 1 species
AAAGGGGAAAACUUCAAAAACCGCCCCUGUGGUUUCGUACUUUCUCACUUUAGUACCAUGUGAUUUAGAAUAUAUCAAUUUGAUGCCCUGUGGUUUCAUUUUUAUCUUUUCGGCAGCUUUUUUGUUAAUAUUUCGUUAAAUUAUAUAUAAAAAGACUUUAGAUACCCAUCUAGGUUUAGCGAAUAUUUACUUUAGUAUCCUUUAAUUUUAAUUUUGUCACUGAUUUAAGAAAAAAAUAGUAAAAUUGAUAAUAAAAAGAGAAAAAUGAAACCACAUGACACUAAAUUGAUACACUUUAAAUCAUAGGAUACUAAAGUGAGAAAGUGCGAAACCACAGGUGGUUUUUUGAAGUUUUUUCCAAAAAAAAAAGAAAAAAUAAGGGUUUAAACAG